UUUUUUUAACGCCACUAUGUUCAAAAACAAAAGGGAGCAAAGCUGUCAGCUGGAAGUGAAACGGUCAGCGUCUGCCUGGUAAUCUUCCAUCUGUGCCACAGCGAUUUUCACCAGCAAUUUAAAAAAUCCUGUCAUAAGCAGAAAACAGAUCUGGCCACGAAAGUAAACUCCGCUUCCUGCCAGUGACUGAAUGUGACUUCCAGGUUUAUAAACUCCGAGGCCACUCACAUCACGUUAGCUGUUGAGCCGGGGUGAGGUUUGGCUUUCAGAGAUGUUUACAAUAUUUUUCAAGUUUUGUAAUAAGCGAGUGUCCCGUGAAACUCACCACGUGGACAGCAGGAAGGGGGCAGCCUGGCAGUCUUACUCCGUGUUCCCGGUGCUGGGAGCUGCCCUGCCAGCCAAAGAGAGAGGUUUAAACAGUGUCAGAGAGACACAGUGGUGCCGAGUUAGACGCUGUGGACAGCCGUUAUCUGCAGGUCUACAUCCCAGUGCUGAGAGAACUCAUCCUUUCUCAAACUCUAGCAGAUUAAAGGUUUGCAUGUGCCGUGGGCAGGAAGCCGCCGUUUCUGGGAAUAUGAGGAAAAGGCAUGUCUUCAUCCUCAUGGUGGCGAGAGGGCUGCUGCACCUCCAGGCCCUGUAUUCCAGGCAGGAAGAAAGCUUCUCCGGGACUUUGGUUCCCAUGUGGGAAGAGAGCAAACUCCAUCAGUGUUCACAAACAAGAGGUCGGUGUGGACUCGGGACGAGCUUCCCGCAGGGGAUCCUCUCUGAAGGAAGAGGAGGCUGUCCACGGUGGCAGGUGAGCCUGAGGGGCAGGUGGCGGCUGAACCGGCUGUGCAGCAUUGGCCGCUGAGCCCGGAUCUCUUCUCCGUCCUGCUCAGCCCACGCUGUGCCCAGGCGGGUUGGCAUCCAGUGGGUGUGAUCAUUGGACAACACCCGUGGGACCAGAGGGUGGGGCAGAGAGAGGGCGGAAGCUCGUGCCCCUGCUCUGGGUCUGCAGGCCUGGGCCCCACGGGAGCACUGCUGCCUUUGCCUUCGGGUGAGAGUGCUGAUGGUUUUCCGUGUUGCUACUGGGCCACCUGGCCACCCCUAGCCUGGACUUCCCUGCUGGCUCAGUGGUACAGAAUCCGCCUGCAGCGCAGGAGACCCAUGCUUGAUCCCUGGGUCAGGAAGAUCCCUGGAGAAGGAAAUGGCAACCCUCUCCAGAGGAGCCUGGCGGGCUAUAGUCCAUGUGGUCGCAGAGUCGGACACGACCGGGUGACUAACGCUAAUGCUAACUCGCCCAAACUUCUGUAAAUAAAAGCUUUCCAGGUGAGCCAUCUGCUUCCUGUGUGGAGCCUGGCUGACCGAGGCAUCUAUGGGGUCUGCCUGGGGGAUACGGGAAACUCGGUACUCGGGGGCCCCAACUCAGAGCCAUCACUUCAGAAAUGUCUCCUGCUAACCCUGCCCUUGGGGUCACAACUCUGGGUAUUUUCUUUGACUCCGAGAACACCCUCGCCCACGUCACACAUGAACGACCAUGAUCCUGCUCUCUGUAGGGCGGGCAUGAGGAGCAGGCCUGCUGUACCCUCUUUCCUGAGACGCGAUUGCCUUCGGCAAUCGCCCCCGGAGAGAGGGGAGCAGCAGGGGCGGGGGCGGAGAGCUGGGACCUACUUCCUGGACGGGGCUUCCUGGCGGCUCAGUGGUAAAGAACCUGCCUGCAGUGCAGGAGACCCGGGCUCGAUUCCUGGGUCGGGAAGAUCCCCUGGAGAAAGGAAUGGCCACCCACUCCAUCCCAUGGAUGGAGGAGCCUGGUGGGCUACAGUCCAUGGGGUCGCAGAGUCGGACACGACUUAGUGACUAAACCAACCACCACUUCCUGGACGGAGCCUGCAAGGACCAGGCUGAGGCAGGGGGCAGUCAGUGAAGGGAGGGGCUACACCCUCCAGGAGCUCAGAGCCGGAAUCACUGCUCACAGCCUGUGUCUCUUUGCUCGUGUUUUCAGCACCAUAAGAGCCCACUGCUGUUUUUUGUGUUUGCAUUUCUCCCCUCAUCAUUUCAAUUUCUUUUUUAAAAUUGAAGUGGAGCUGAUUUACAACGUUGCGUUGAUUUCUGCUGCAUAUCAAAACGGCUCAGUUAUGCACAUACAUACAUUCCUUUUAUAUUCCUUUCCAUUUUGAUUUAUUACUGGACUCUGAAUAUAGUUCCCUGGGCUAUACAGAGGGACAUUCCAAUGGAUUUUGAUGUGAGUUUUACUAAAACCAACGCUUUUAUUUCCUUAUUGUUAUUACUGUUUUCCUACUGAAAAAAUUGUUUUCAUUUGUUUUUAACAGAUAUUCUGCUAUCUUGAUUUUGAUUUUUCAGUAACAGAAGAAUUUAAAGGUUUAAAAAUAUUUCUAGAUGGUAGGCUUGUUUCCUAGUUUCUACUUUUAUUAUUAAUUUUUCAUUUUAUUGCUUUAUGAUCAGAAAAGGUUAUUUUUGCUUUUCAAAAGAUAUGAAUGGAGGUCUUCUUUCUGGCUGACUAGAGUCCAUUUUUGUGACUAUUAAUAAAUCAUUUUUAAAAAACAGAUAUUCUCUGAUUUUAGGAUAUAGAGUGUGACACUCAGCGUUUCCCUCAUUGUGUGACUAUGUGUCGUUUAGGGUUUUCCUUCUGGUGUGUGUGCCUACAUGCUCCACUUGUCACCUUCAGCCUUUCCCUUUAGUGUGUGUGUGUCUACACAGCGUGUGCACACACAUGUGUGUGCGCAUAUGCAUGUGUGUGCACAUGUGUGUGCACAUGUGUGUGCACGUGUGUGUCUACACAUGUGUGCGCGUGCACAUGUGUGUGUCUGCAAUGCUCCACUUCUCACCCUUCAGAGUUUUCUGCUCAUUUACUGUUUCUUUUUCCUUCACUCUGUGCCACUCUUUCCCGUCUCGUAUUUUGCAAAGGCAACAAAAUCCACCUCUGACAGGUCUCCUAUCUGCAGAUCAGAUGAGCUCAGAGCAGCGUCUGGGCCCUGACAUGUUCUGCAGAGGCGCAGGCCAGGCUUGGAAAGCCCAGCGGGGGAAUCUGGAAGGAGAGAGGAACGUGUUAUAACAGUCGGCACGACUGAGACUGGCACAUCUUUGGCCUGGGACCCAUCGGCUGAACUUUCUUACAUGGUGGGUGUGUAUCAACACGAGACCUUGGAACUCGUACCUGCACGGCAGCCAGGGAGGGCCAGGUGGUUCUAUGAAUGCGUGAAUGAAUGUCCUCUUGAAGCUUAUAUCAUGAAGCUUAUAUCACAGGCAAUUAAAAAUACCUGAAAUAUAUGACUGCCAGACAGUAAUUGGCACUAGACCAAAAAUUAAGCUGGGAAAGAGGACAGUUACGAGGAACAAGGUUUUUAUAGCAUCAGAAAAUGGGAGAAAACAUUUGCAAACCACACAUUUGAUAAUGAGAUAAUAUCCAACAUAUAUAAGGAACUCACACAACUCAAUAGUGAAAAACCAAGUAACUCAAUUUAAAAAUGGACAAAGGACUUGAAUAGGCAUUUUUUUCAAAGAAGACAUACAAAUGGUCAAAAGAUACAUGAAAAGAUGCCGAACGUCACUCAUCGUCAGGGAGAAGCAAAUCAAAACCAUGAAGCCGUGUCACCUCACACCUGUUACAGUGACCGCUGAGAAAAGGCAGAAGACAAGAGGUGCUGGUGAGGCUGUGGGACAGAGGGAGCCCCACGCUCGGUGCCUGGGCAGAGCUCGGUGCGGCCAUCCGCCUCACUCCCAUUAAACUUCUGCUUGUUUCUUUGCAUUUUCCCAGACUUUUAAAGUACAAAUACUAACAAACGCAACUAUAUACGUUUAAUCUCUCCUUUCAUUGUUACACAAAAUGAUUGCACAAUACUCUCAGCUUUUUCAGCUUGCCUUUUACACAGAACUAUAGACCUGGAGAUUUUUGCAUUCCAAUAUAUAGAAAGACUCCUCAUUGUUCUCUAAUGACUGCAUGUUCCAUACUGUAAAUCGCUUCUGCUAAUGGAAAUCCGGAGUGUGUCCGGGUUUUGCUGUUGUAAACAAUGCUGCAGUGGAAAGCCUUGUUUACGUGUCAUUUUGCAGGUGUGCAACUCUGUAGGAUAAAGUUAGAGAAGGGGAGCAACGGGUUAAGGGGUAAUACGCGUGAUAGGUCUGACGGUCAUUGACAGACAGACCAUAGCAGGGCCCGCAGGAGUACUCGCUCCCACGCGCAAGGCAUGCGGGCCUUCUUUCCCUGCAGCCUCCCACGCGCAAGGCAUGCGGGCCUUCUUUCCCUGCAGCCUCCCAUGUGCAAGGCAUGCGGGCCUUCUUUCCCUGCAGCCUCCCACGCGCAAGGCACGCGGGCCUCUUCCCCUGCAGCCUCCCAGCAAGGCACGCGGGCCUCUUCCCCUGCAGCCUCCCAGUGGAAGGCGCUGACAUCUGUCAGAGCUUUGCCAACAUGAUGCCUGAAAACGACAUCUCAGUACAGCUUUAAUUUGCAUUUUUCUUACUCUAAAUACAGUGAGCAUCUCUUUUUGUCUUCUGUAUUUCGUAACUUCAAGACGUAAUUAUCGUCUUUUCCUUUGCCCGUUUUUCUCUUGGAUUGUUGGUCUGCACUCUGUGUUUUUAAGCCAACUGAAAAAUGUUAAAUGCUGUGCAUUAUUUUGGAUCUAAAAAUCCCAUCGCAUUUUUAAUGUUGUAAAACUUAUAAUAACCCUUCCAUUUUAAUAAGAGUAAAUAUGUGUUAUUAUACUACAAAAUAGUUUCUUUGUUCAGAGUCUGAAAUUAGAAAUUUCAAACAUGGCUCAUAUGUAUGUGUGUGUGCAUAUAAUGAAGGCCUUCUUAUAAAGCCAUGUGAGGCCAUAAAACUUUACUCCAAAAAGGGAACCAACCUCAAAUGAGGUCUCUGGAAUAGAGCUAUGCUGAAGCUUAGAAAUAAGGUCUCAGAUUAGUCCAAGCAUUUCUCCCACUAAGGGUAUAACAUUUCUAAUUACAUUUCUAAUUAUUUUAAGCCCGUUUGUUGAACAGAUUCCAGUCUAAAUCAUUAAUAUCAAACCAGAUUCCUGCAGUGGCUGCUUGAAUGUGUAUUGCAUUUAUAUUGAACUCAUUUUAUUAAUAAUUUUUAAAAGAAUAAUAGACAUCAUGAAGUAAAGUGUCAGAGCUUGUCAUCUUGUCUAAUCCCCUCAUUUUAUGUAGGCCUUUAAUAGGGACUUUGAUUUUCACCCUCCCUCUUAAUUUUUCUUUGCCGUUUAAAAUGCAUUCAGUACUGACCUUAACACCUGGUUACAGGUAACUUCACACAACGUCCAUGCUGCCUGAUGCCCCUCAUGCCUUGGUGCACACGAGGUCUUUCUUGUUUAGUUCUUGGCUAUUCCAAAUCUUAGGGGUCACUAGAGAAAAUCGUCUGGGACAGUAAAAGUUCUAUUUUUUUCAGUUAGUAGGCUUCAGUUUCUCCAUGGGUCCCUUAAGGAUUUUUGACUAGAAGCCUUCUAAGUUCCCCAAAGAGCCAACCAUCACUGAGUUUGGGAGGGGAGAGGAGGGUGGGUGAUGGAUUCUCCACUUUCUCCAGGGAAAGCACUGCCCUGUUUGGGGGCAAAGUUAAUAUUUCUGCAUAGCUUUGCUACAUUCUAUUUCCUGAGGUCAUAACAGUCUGGGUUCCAAUUACAUUCCUAGAAUAAUGAGCCUAUUACAGUAAAUGAACAUUUUCAAGGGUGACCGAACAACCGUCUAUUGAGUAUGCCCACACCUAAUAAUUCUCCACUUGGCAGAAGGAGAGAAGGAGGCGUUUGGGUGACAGGAAGUCAUCUGUGAAACGUGAUCGAAGAAGGAGGAUGAGAAGGUAAGGUGGGGCUAGCAUCUCUUCUCUCGUGGCGUCGGCUUCGUCAAGGCCGAGGGGAGACGGAGGCUGCAGGCCUUUUCCGCAAACGCCGAGGCCCCUGACUCCAAACCGCUUCAGGGUCCCCACGAGUCACCUGCUCUAAGUGUCCCCUUUCUCCUUUGAAAGCUGUGGUGGAUAUCAGAUGACAGCCCAGCACCCCGACUUUGUUGGCUUAGCGCUAUCACGGAGAAUGGAGGUGGAUCAAGUAACCCAUGUGGACAGUGAGCUUUAGGAAUAGAUGCUGUCUCAAGUGUUAAAAACAUAGUUUUAAACAAAGCACGUUUUAUGCAACUACAUGGCAAGAAGAAGAAAAAGUUACAUAUAAUUUAUACAUACAAAUUAAUUUAUAAAUAUGUAACUUUAUAUAAUAUCUAGAACACACAUAUAUAAAGCAUAUAAAUCUAUAACAUGUAGGACAGAUGCACAUAUCAAACCAAUGUGUGAGAAAUAUGUGUAGCUGCCACCGGUCCUGUCUGUGUAACUGAUCAUGAGACCAUAGUCGAUAUAUUUUUAAGCACGUUUGUUGACAUAUAAUUCACAUGUCAUGAAAUCCGUCUAUUUAACGUGCCCGGUUCAGUGGCUUGGGGUAUGUUUGCAGAGUUGUGCAACUCUCACCACAGACAUUUUAAUCAGCCUCCAGAGCAAACCCUGUUCCAUCACUCCCCUUUCCACUUGCCCACCCCCUCGUCCCUGGAAACCACUAAUCUACUUCCUGUCUUUAAAGAUUUGCCUAUUCUAAAAUUUUGUAUUUCAUAUAAGUGCAAUCGUACAAUACGUGGUCUUUUGUAAUGAACUUCUUUCAUUUAGCAUGUUUUCAAGACUCCUGAUAUAUUCGUGUGUGUGUGUGUGUUCGGUUGUGUCCGACUCUCUGCAACCCCAUGGACUGUAGCCCACCAGGCUCCUCUGCUCAUGGA